CCUACAAAUCAAAUCCCUUGCUUCAGGUGACAAUCUGGCGUCAUCUGGAAAUUUUAAAUGAUUUUUCCAAUGUACAAUCUACAAAAAAGCAAAAAAGAAACAUCACUGAAAAAGCUAAAACAGAUGGAACAAUCUUGGGAAAAGAAGCUCACUCAAAUUGGCAAAAUAGAUGGAUAUAAUUAAUUAAUUGCUAAGAAAAAAUAGGAAAAGAAAGGAAGGGGAGCAAAAUCGCUCCUCUACUUCACUCUCUCUCUCAAGAGAAAGAACUGACAGACUCGUUCUCUCAACCUCAGCAUCUUCACAAAGUGUCCCUCUUCCUAAUGCGGUGGACCGAAUUCCAUAGACUAAAUUCUAUUAUUGUAACAUAAUUAUCGAUCGUCUCAGUACAUGAGGACAUGAAGAGAGAUUGCUGUGUAACACAGUCAAGGAAACAUAUCUCUUUAGACAGAUCAUGGGCUAAUGCAACUGAAACAAUUGAAAUUGAUCCAAAGGGAAAGAUGGAUUUACAUUCUGAAGAAAAGAUAGACUUUGCAUUGGGGAGAUUAAUGUGAGUACUUACUACACAUCAUUAAACAUUUCAAAAUGUCCAUGUAUCGGCAUUUUGAUUACUUGUAACUGAAAACAUAAACCACAUCCUACAUCUACAAGACCCUAAAACCAACAAUAGGGACAACUCAUGAAAAACUACAUCUGGAAAAUUAGAGGGGGAAAAUAAAAAGUUUAAUUGAUUGUUAUAAAAAAGUAAGAGGACGAAUGAUAGAAGCCACUCCUCAGCUUCCAUAAUGCUUCUCCCUUCACAUCAUCAUUCAAUUAUCAUAUGUCACAAACGCAAUGACAAUGGAUGGAACUACCUGAGGAUGAAAGCAGCAAUUUUCAAAAACGUAAAACAGAGUGUAUAAGCAAAAACAAGCAAAUGCAUUGACAAAAUUGUGUCUACUCCUAAGUUAACAAUGCUCCUCACGCCUUACACUACUAAAACCGACCAUACUCGGCGAAUUCGGCAAGUCAUCGAAUUCAUCGAGUUACAGCUUAGGAAAGAGGGACAGCUGUUUCGGGAGGUUGUAGGAUGCGAUCUACACGAGUGCAAGCAACCAAGGGUCGUGUGCCGGCAGUCUCUUUUGGCAACUGUUUGCUCGAGGCAUGGAUAACUUCAGCGACGGGUACGAAGUCAUACUAGAGCAGAGCCCUUCCACAGCUAGUAUCAUCGCUCAAUAGUCUUGCAAGAUGUCAUCUCUAUGCUCGCUUGAGCGAGCAGCGCUCGCCUGUGAGUCGCUCGCUCGAGCGAGCAGACCGUUGCUACUCUGCUUGCGACGCUUGCUCAAGCAAGCAGCGCUCGCCUGAGCGAGCAGAGCAGCGACGCUCGCUGGAGCGAGCAUAGAGUUGCUGCUCCACUCGUGAUGCUCGCUCGAGUGAGCAGACGCUACCACACAUCUGGGUGAGUCUACUCGAGCGAGCGUCGCUGCUCUGCUGAGCGACCAAAGUAGCUCGAGCUCGGCAGAGUAGCUCCAGCGAGCAGCCGUUGCCUAGAUCUGCCGCAGAUCUGGGCAAGCAACGCUCGCUUGGGGCUCGAGCAUGAGGGCUCGCUCAAGCGAGCCUCUCGCAGAUCUGGGCAAGCGCUAGCUCGAGUGAGCUAUCGCGCUAGAGCCCGAGCAGCCAUCGCCCAGAUUUGCGAGGGGUGGCUCUCACUGAAGCCCUCGUUGAACGGAGAAGGAGGAGCAGCAGAAACUUACCUCGAUUCAGAAGCUUCAGCUAGUGAAGGAGCAACAGCUGUCGGUGCCAGAGAGUCAGCCGAGUGGGGAGGUGCCGGAGAGUCAGCGGAGUGGGGAGUUGCCGGAGAGUCAGCCGAGUGGGAGGCGCCGGAGAGUCAGCCGAUGGUGAACUUGUGCGAGACGUCGGAAAAGGGAGAUUGUUGUUUCGGGUAGGGCACGAACGAAAGAGAAGUGUUUCGUUUUUG
rnacentral:lncRNA from 1 species